GUCCCUAUAGCGCAGUGGAUAGCGCGUUGGAUUUCUAAUCCAAAGGUACCGGGUUCGUUUUCCCGGCAGGGAUG